rnacentral:tRNA from 1 species
GCUGGCAUAGCUCAGUGGUAGAGCGCGUCCUUGGUAAGGACGAGGUCCUGGGUUCAAUCCCCAGUGCUAGCU